rnacentral:rRNA from 1 species
AACGUAGGAGCCAAGCGUUAUCCGAAUUCACUGGGCGUAAAGCGCGUGCAGGCGGCUGGGUAAGUUGGAUGUGAAAUCUCCUGGCUCAACUGGGAGAGGCCGUUCAAUACUACCUGGCUUGAGGGCGACAGAGGGAGGUGGAAUUCCGGGUGUAGUGGUGAAAUGCGUAGAUAUCCGGAGGAACACCAGAGGCGAAGGCGACCUCCUGGGUCGUACCUGACGCUGAGGCGCGAAAGCCAGGGGAGCAAACGGG